rnacentral:rRNA from 1 species
UACGGGGGGGGCAAGCGUUGUUCGGAAUUACUGGGCGUAAAGGGCUCGUAGGCGGCCAACUAAGUCAGACGUGAAAUCCCCAGGCUCAACCUGGGAACUGCGUCCGAUACUGGAUGGCUAGAGUUCGGGAGAGGGAUGCGGAAUUCCAGGUGUAGCGGUGAAAUGCGUAGAUAUCUGGAGGAACACCGGUGGCGAAGGCGGCAUCCUGGACCGACACUGACGCUGAGGAGCGAAAGCCAGGGGAGCAAACGGG